GUGAGUAACGCGUGAGAAUCUGGCUCCAGGUCGGGGAUAACAGUUGGAAACGACUGCUAAUACCGGAUGUGCCGAGAGGUGAAAGAUUUAUUGCCUGGAGAUGAGCUCGCGUCUGAUUAGCUAGUUGGUGGUGUAAGGGACCACCAAGGCGUCGAUCAGUAGCUGGUCUGAGAGGAUGAUCAGCCACACUGGGACUGAGACACGGCCCAGACUCCUACGGGAGGCAGCAGUGGGGAAUUUUCCGCAAUGGGCGAAAGCCUGACGGAGCAAUACCGCGUGAGGGAGGAAGGCUCUUGGGUCGUAAACCUCUUUUCUCAAGGAAGAAGAAAGUGACGGUACUUGAGGAAUAAGCAUCGGCUAACUCCGUGCCAGCAGCCGCGGUAAUACGGAGGAUGCAAGCGUUAUCCGGAAUGAUUGGGCGUAAAGGGUCUGCAGGUGGAACUGAAAGUCUGCUGUUAAAGAGUUUGGCUUAACCAAAUAAAAGCGGUGGAAACUACAGAACUAGAGUGCGGUAGGGGCAAAAGGAAUUCCUGGUGUAGCGGUGAAAUGCGUAGAUAUCAGGAAGAACACCGGUGGCGAAAGCGUUUUGCUAGACCAUAACUGACACUGAGGGACGAAAGCUAGGGGAGCGAAUGGGAUUAGAUACCCCAGUAGUCCUAGCCGUAAACGAUGGAUACUAGGCGUGGCUUGUAUCGACCCGAGCCGUGCCGGAGCUAACGCGUUAAGUAUCCCGCCUGGGGAGUACGCACGCAAGUGUGAAACUCAAAGGAAUUGACGGGGGCCCGCACAAGCGGUGGAGUAUGUGGUUUAAUUCGAUGCAACGCGAAAGACUUUACCAAGACUUGACAUCCUGCGAAUCCUGGUGAAAGCUGGGAGUGCCUUAGGGAGCGCAGAGACAGGUGGUGCAUGGCUGUCGUCAGCUCGUGUCGUGAGAUGUUGGGUUAAGUCCCGCAACGAGCGCAACCCUCGUUUUUAGUUGCCAGCAUUAAGUUGGGCACUCUAGAGAGACUGCCGGUGACAAACCGGAGGAAGGUGAGGAUGACGUCAAGUCAGCAUGCCCCUUACGUCUUGGGCUACACACGUACUACAAUGCUACGGACAGAGGGCAGCGAGCCAGGGAUGGCAAGCGAAUCCAGAAACCGUAGCUCAGUUCAGAUCGAAGGCUGCAACUCGCCUUCGUGAAGGAGGAAUCGCUAGUAAUUGCAGGUCAGCAUACUGCAGUGAAUUCGUUCCCGGGCCUUGUACACACCGCCCGUCACACCAUGG
rnacentral:rRNA from 1 species